GUAGUUAGAUAAGUUGGUAGAGCAGUUGACUUUUAAUCAAUUGGUCGCAGGUUCGAAUCCUGCACGACCCACCA
rnacentral:tRNA from 1 species